AUGGCAGCCAGGGCCGGGGUUCGGAGGAAACCAACCUUGACCCAGAAAGAACAGGCCCGGGUAGAACUGGGAGAAAGGCAAGGGAGGAAAGUGCGGGCCGCGACGCCGCAGGAGUCUCGGAAUCAGAUUCAAGUGUCGGGUCUUCAGGGAAAUAAAGGGAUAGAUAAAAAUUCAAAUCAAACUGAACUUCUCAAGAGCCCUGAUCCUACCCUGUACCAGCAGAGAGGCCCGAAAUCCAGCAACACCUCCAUCUACCUCUUCACUGAUUUUGAUUCUCACACUAAACGCAGCAGGCCCCUGGCCUGGAGCAGCAACAAAAGCACCUCCAAGCAGGGCUACUCCAGCUCUGGAAGUCCCUGUGAUGCCAAGUUGAUAAAGAAAAACUUUGCAACAGAUAUGAACCUAAACUUCCCAAACCUGUCAGUGAUUGGGCUCUGCAUCCUCUCCUGCUGACAGUGGCCAGGCUUAACCUGCUCCUGACGCCAUGGCUGUGGUCCAGCUGA